GUUACUGCGAAGGGGGGACGGAGAAGGCUAUGUUGGCCGGGCGACGGUUGUCCCGGUUUAAGCGUGUAGGCUGGUUUUCCAGGCAAAUCCGGAAAAUCAAGGCUGAGGCGUGAUGACGAGGCACUACGGUGCUGAAGCAACAAAUGCCCUGCUUCCAGGAAAAGCCUCUAAGCAUCAGGUAACAUCAAAUCGUACCCCAAACCGACACAGGUGGUCAGGUAGAGAAUACCAAGGCGCUUGAGAGAACUCGGGUGAAGGAACUAGGCAAAAUGGUGCCGUAACUUCGGGAGAAGGCACGCUGAUAUGUAGGUGAAGUCCCUUGCGGAUGGAGCUGAAAUCAGUCGAAGAUACCAGCUGGCUGCAACUGUUUAUUAAAAACACAGCACUGUGCAAACACGAAAGUGGACGUAUACGGUGUGACGCCUGCCCGGUGCCGGAAGGUUAAUUGAUGGGGUCAGCGCAAGCGAAGCUCUUGAUCGAAGCCCCGGUAAACGGCGGCCGUAACUAUAACGGUCCUAAGGUAGCGAAAUUCCUUGUCGGGUAAGUUCCGACCUGCACGAAUGGCGUAAUGAUGGCCAGGCUGUCUCCACCCGAGACUCAGUGAAAUUGAACUCGCUGUGAAGAUGCAGUGUACCCGCGGCAAGACGGAAAGACCCCGUGAACCUUUACUAUAGCUUGACACUGAACAUUGAGCCUUGAUGUGUAGGAUAGGUGGGAGGCUUUGAAGUGUGGACGCCAGUCUGCAUGGAGCCGGCCUUGAAAUACCACCCUUUAAUGUUUGAUGUUCUAACGUGGACCCGUGAUCCGGGUUGCGGACAGUGUCUGGUGGGUAGUUUGACUGGGGCGGUCUCCUCCUAAAGAGUAACGGAGGAGCACGAAGGUUGGCUAAUCCUGGUCGGACAUCAGGAGGUUAGUGCAAUGGCAUAAGCCAGCUUGACUGCGAGCGUGACGGCGCGAGCAGGUGCGAAAGCAGGUCAUAGUGAUCCGGUGGUUCUGAAUGGAAGGGCCAUCGCUCAACGGAUAAAAGGUACUCCGGGGAUAACAGGCUGAUACCGCCCAAGAGUUCAUAUCGACGGCGGUGUUUGGCACCUCGAUGUCGGCUCAUCACAUCCUGGGGCUGAAGUAGGUCCCAAGGGUAUGGCUGUUCGCCAUUUAAAGUGGUACGCGAGCUGGGUUUAGAACGUCGUGAGACAGUUCGGUCCCUAUCUGCCGUGGGCGCUGGAGAACUGAGGGGGGCUGCUCCUAGUACGAGAGGACCGGAGUGGACGCAUCACUGGUGUUCGGGUUGUCAUGCCAAUGGCACUGCCCGGUAGCUAAAUGCGGAAGAGAUAAGUGCUGAAAGCAUCUAAGCACGAAACUUGCCCCGAGAUGAGUUCUCCCUGACCCUUUAAGGGUCCUGAAGGAACGUUGAAGACGACGACGUUGAUAGGCCGGGUGUGUAAGCGCAGCGAUGCGUUGAGCUAACCGGUACUAAUGAACCGUGAG
rnacentral:rRNA from 1 species